GCCCAGAUGGCGGAAUUGGUAGACGCACCGUCUUCAGGUGGCGGCGCUGGAAACGGCGUGGAGGUUCGAGUCCUCUUCUGGGCACCA
rnacentral:tRNA from 14 species